UGGUGGUGAUGUAUGAACUCACGAUGGUCUGCAUAGGCCCCCAUAGGUGGGGGGCUGCUGAGAACGCCAGUUUGGCAGUUGGUGAACCAAGGAG
rnacentral:snoRNA from 1 species